rnacentral:lncRNA from 1 species
UUUUGGGAUCCCCAGCCAAUUUCCCAGGCGAUUUUGGGAUCCCAAAGGAAUUUUGGGAUCCCCCUGACCCUUUCCCCCCCCCCCUUUUCCAGCUGCAGUCGGAGCUGCUGCUCCAGGAGGGCCCCCGGAUCCGGGAGCUGCCGGAAUUCCAGGAAAUCCGGGACCUGGGCCGCAGGUUUUCCCUCUUUUUCAGCCUCCACCACCUCAGGAACCGCCCGGCCCUGCUCACCCUCCACAGGGAGGGGAUCCAAUUUGCCUUCCAGGAGCCCCCAGACCCCGAAAGUGGGGAGGGGACCCCCCUGAACCUGCCCUUCCUCGAGGUGCUCAGCGAGUUCUCCCCCAGGCUCCUGCGCCAGGACAAGGCCCUGCUGUGAGGGGGGUUUUGGGGUCUCUUUUGGGGUCUCUUUGGGGUUUUUUUUUGGUGUUUUGGGGGUUUUUUUGGGGUCUCUUUUGGGGUGUUUUUUGGGUCUCUUUUGGAAUCUCUUUAGAGCGUUUUUUGGGGUGUCUUUUGGGGGUUUUUUUAGGUUUUUUUGGGUUCUCAGUCAUUUUUUGGGGUCUCUUUUGGGGUCUCUUUUGGGGUCUUUUGUGUUCUCUUUUGGGGUUUUUUUUUUGGGGUGUCUUUUGGGGUGUUUUGGGAUCUCUUUUAGGGUCUUUUGUGGUCUCUUUUGGGGUCUCUCUUGAGGUCUCUUUUGGGGUUUUUUUGGGAGUUGUUUGGGGUCUCUCUUGGGGUCUCUUUUGGGAUCUCUUUUGGGGUCUUUUGGGGUCUCUUUUGGGGUCUCUUUUGGGGUCUGUUUUGGUAUCUUUUUGGAGUCUUUUCUGGGGUCUUUUGGGGUCUCUUUUGGGGUCUUUUUCAGGGUGUUUUUAGAGUCUCUUUUGGGGUGUUUUUUGGGUCUCUUUUGAGGCUCUUUUGGGGUCUCUUGGGGUCUCUUUUUAUCAUUUUUUGGGGUCUCUUUUUGGACCUUUUGGGGUCUCUUUUGGGGUGUCUUGGGGUCUGUUUUGGAGUCUCUUUUGGGGUCUUUUGGGGUCUCUUUUGGGGGUCUUUUUGGGGUCUCUUCUGGAGUUUUUUUUGGGUGUCUUUCAGGGUCUUUUUGGGGUCUCUUGGGGUCUCUUUUGGGGGUCUCUUCGGAUCUUUUGGGGUCUCUUUUGGGGUGUUUUUGGGGUCUCUUUUGGGGCUCUUUUGGGGUCUCUUUCAGGGUCUUUUUGGGGUCUCUUUUGGGGUCUUUUGGUGUCUCUGAGCAUUUUUUGGGGUCUCUUUUGGGGUCUCUUUUGAUCGUUUUUUGGGGGUCUCAUUUUGGACCUUUUGGGGUCUCUUUCAGGGUCUUUUGGGGUCUCUUUUGGGGUCUCUUUUGGGGUGUUUUUGGGGUCUCUUGAGGGUUUUUGGGGUCCCUGCCCUUCCUCGAGGUGCU